rnacentral:rRNA from 1 species
AGCAAGCGGACCUCAUAAAGUAUGUCGUAGUCCGGAUUGGAGUCUGCAACUCGACUCCAUGAAGUCGAUCGCUAGUAAUCGUGGAUCAGAAUGCCACGGUGAAUACGUUCCCGGGCCUUGUACACACCGCCCGUCACACCAUGGGAGUGGGUUGCAAAAGAAGUAGGUAGCUUACUUCGGGAGGGCGCUU